CCUCCGUUCAGGCAUAAGUUUUUUUCCAACUUUAACCAUCAGUUUUAUUUAUUUUUUUAUAAUAAUAUUUUUUAUUAUUAUUAGAUUAUAAAACAUAAAUAAUAUGUUAUACGUGACUAUAUUUUUUAGUGUUUUUUAAAGAAAAUUUUAAAUAAAACAGAUGAUUAAAGUUAGAUACGAAAACUCAUGAUGCGCUUAUU
rfam:Oryza meridionalis cultivar OR44 (W2112) chromosome 6, whole genome shotgun sequence.